UAUUGUGCUUGCAGCUUGAGAUGUACUUGGUCCAAAUGAAAAUCAUCAUUUUGAAGGGCAACUUCGCAUGGAAUUAGGAUCACUUAAUAAGGUUCUGGUUUCUUUUUCAAAUUCACUUGCUUUAUGCAUGAACCUAUUAUAGAUUUGUUGGUGUUGAUUUGCAGUAAGAGAAAAUGUAAUAUUGUUCUCAUCAAUCAUAGCAUGUGUAAUGCGUUAUAACAUCAGUUUCAUUGGAUUGGAAAAGGUGAUAAACAUGCAACCAUUCUUACUCGAUGAUAUGAAUACUUCAGGAGCAAUAGUGGCAUUUGUGUGCACAUUAGUAUUCCAUUAUGUAGUAAAGGAUAUGGUCUGGUAGUCAUUCUUUGUCGUUACUAGUACAAUGUCCGUGCGUUGCCACGGGCUGUUGAAAUAGUUUGCAAGAGUUAUAUAAAGACAAUGCAUGUUAAAUUUCACACGUACAGACAAUAUAACACAGACACAAUUAUUUAAUAAUUAAAGUACAUUUUUGCAAUGUAAAUUGCCAAAAAGAAAAA